rnacentral:tRNA from 1 species
AAGAAUUUAAGUUAAAAAAACUCUCGGUCUUCAAAACCGUCAAUGGGGUUACCCAAUUCUUG